CUCCCCCUCCCACCGCUCCCUCAGGGAGAGGCGGGGAGGGAGCCAGAGGAGAAGGAAGCAACCUGCCGCUUCCGCUGACCCCGCCCCCCCAUCCACUCCUCUCUCCCCUCCUCCCCCGGAGUUUACUCAAGCAAGCCAUACCGCUCCCGCCGCCCGCGAAAACCCUGAGCGGGAGCGAGAGACCCGGAGCCGAGCCAGGAACCCGCGUGCUAAAGGAGCUGACUAGCAACGCCUCCUUUCUGCCUUGGCGCUGGCCAUUCGGAGACUUCACUUCCCAGGCUCCCUUGCGCCCAUGUCCCGAAGCGGAACUUGCGGCGUUGGCGCGGUGCAGGCUGGGCGUUGUAGUCUGGCCGAGAUGAGCACCCACGGGUCCUCUAGCAAGCUGUAGCUAGCCGAGUGGCCUUCGACUUCUUGGCGCAGGACCUAAGUCCACAGGUCAGAUGAACUGUUCUGCUAAUCUACAAAAGUUCUGCAAAUCUUCACUAGAUUGCUGAUGAUCAAAGAUGGCUUAACAACAUUGGGCUGAUGAUACCAGCUGACACAGAAGGAUCUCAAUGAGCACUUGCUGAACGGAUGAUUGCAUGCAUGAAUGAAUGCUGAUAAACUUUUAUGUUUUCCUUCACCAGCACCCCAGGCAGUUUACAAACCAUAUGAAUGUUUAUGAAAUCGUAUGAAUGCAUUAUUGACUUAAUCAUGUGUUUCCCUUUUAUUAGUCAGACUUUCAGUUCUGAAGGACAGAAAUUAAAGUAACAUUUGUUUGAUAAAAAAGGUAAUUUGAUUAAAUUUUACUCAUAAAUUGCAUCCAAGCACUCAAAAAGAACCUCUCUAUCUUACUUCUGCUUUCCUCUUCGUUGUUUCUUUUCUCAGAUCUCUUCAUGUGCUGGCAAAGGUGACCAGGGAUUGCACACUUAAUCCACUAAGUUAGGAACACUUCUUGUUCAGUAAUCAUUCAAAAGCUCAGAAGUGAUUCAAUCGAUCAACUUUUACUAAUUUUUUGAAACAAUCAUUGUGCCCAAAGGAAAUGGAAUAUUCUGAUUGCUUAGGCCCAGGUCACAUUCUCAGCUUUAGAAUUGUGGGUCAGCCACAUCCGAACCAUGUGGACUCAAAAUCAAGGAGACAGUGUCUCCACAGAGAAUCACUAGGGCACUCUAAACCCCAGAAGGAAGUAUAGAUACCCAGACAGGCAAAAACAAGUAGCAACUUUAUUGAAAAAAGUUCACCUGGGCUGGCGAUGUAGCUCAGUGAUAGAGUGCUUGCCAGGCUUGUGUGAUACCCUGUGUUCAAUCACCAGCACCUUGAUAGAUAAAUAAAUAGAUAGAUAAUUAACCUACCAUAAUUUACUAGAGAGAUAAUAAAACUCCAGAAAAGCAUUUCAAAAGAGAAAAUAGCAUUGAGAAUGCUUGAUAAAUAUCUCCUAAUUUCUUAUCUCCGACCUUUUUAACUUCUAGGUGUAGAAAAUUGUAUAUUAGUACUGUUCAAAAGAAAUGUAAAACAGAUAUGCAAGCCACAUAUGGAAUUUUAGAUUUUCUUAUAGCCACCUUUAAAAAGUAAAAGUUAAAUUAACUUUAAGAAUAUAUUUUAUUUAAUCUAACAUAUCCAAAACACUCUCUUUUCAACAUAUAGUCAAUAUAAAAGUUAUUUAUGAGAUAUUUCACAUACAUUCUGUAGUAAAACUAUGGUCCUUGAAAUUCCAUAUGUAUUUUACACUUGCAGCACAUUUGGAUUUAGAUUAGUCGAAUUUCAUAGUCACAGUGGAUAGAAGCCCCAUUGGACAGAGCAGUUCUGGACUCUGAAAGUAUUUGUGUACUAAGUAGAAUUUUCAUUUUCUCCCUCCUUCAACCAAUUUCCUCUCUUAAAAACCUUCCCUUUCCAUUCCACUCAUCUUUCUUCCUCCAAUCAAAUAGGGCAAUGCUAAUUUAUUCAUAGUCUUAUCAUUUGGAAAAGGAAAUAAGAAGAAGUGUUCACAUAUUUUCUACUUUUCAAGAGUAAGAGCUGAAAUAAAAUGGCAAAUCACACUGGUGCUUUCCUUCUGCACGAGUUAAAGCAAUAUGAAACAGAUGAUCACAUCUUGAUGACAAUUAUGGUACUACUUGGCAGGAGUAAGUGAAGAAAGAAUUUGGCUUGGUAGCAUUAAAUAGCUGCCCAGAUAGAUUCUAUAAAGAAUAGGAAGAGUGAGAAAAAGCAAGUUACCCAU